CGAACGGGUGAGUAAUGCGUGACCAACCUGCCCCAUGCUCCAGAAUAGCUCUUGGAAACGGGUGGUAAUGCUGGAUGCUCCAACUUGACGCAUGUCUUGUUGGGAAAGUGUUUAGUGGCAUGGGAUGGGGUCGCGUCCUAUCAGCUUGUAGGCGGGGUAAUGGCCCACCUAGGCUUCGACGGGUAGCCGGCCUGAGAGGGCGGACGGCCACAUUGGGACUUAGAUACGGCCCAGACUCCUACGGGAGGCAGCAGUA
rnacentral:rRNA from 1 species